rnacentral:lncRNA from 1 species
AUGGCUGAGAGGUUCCACCUCCUCUCGCUAACCAUAGUCCUCCUCCUCCGUAACAUUGCAUUCACCUCCCCAUCCCUGACACAGUGCCCAGAGGGAUACACUCUCAUACGCAGUCGAGACCACGGCUCAAGUUGCGCAUUGUGGUGCAGCAUCCGGAACUCCGUAAAACUUGUUCGCUACUCAGAAGUAUGCCCCCCCCUAAUCCCCUGGACCCCCUUCCCCAGUGCUUCCUGCUUGGCCUGGGACACCUCGGGAAGUUGCGUCUUCUGGGUGGGGCCGGUCGAGACCACCGCUCCUGUCGAGACCACCGCUCCUGUCGAGACCACCGCUCCUGUCGAGCUUGGAACAGCCACCGCGUCUACCAUCGCAACCUACGGCACCCCCGUACCCGAACCUUCCACCCGAACCAGACCACGGAGGGACGUGAACCCCCACAGGCUGGUCACUUGGACCUUAACGUGCUUAUAUGUGAUGCUGACUCAGCGCCGGCCAGGCCUGGUCAGGUGGACCACCACCCGUACCAGGUGGGUCACCCUUGCCACCAUCACCACGCCACUGGCCCCGACCUUUACAAUCAAGGUGUGCAGACUAUUCCCCUUCGGAAUCAGCGGGCCCAAGGGCCCCCCAUGUACCCAGUGGGGCGCCGGCGGGCCAUUUUACGUAUGCCCUAGUUACAACCCGGAAAAGCCUUAUUGCAAUUCCCCUGGCCAGUUUUACUGUCAUCGCUGGGGCUGCGAAACUGCAGUAGCGGGCAGUACCUCCUGGGCCCCACCAGAACAGGACCCCUUUAUCAGACUUGCCUGUCACCCCUCACCCCACCAGUGUACCCACCUCAACUUUAUGGUCCUCCAACCGACGACCGGGACCUGGUUACAUGGGCGAACUUGGGGCAUCAGGAAAGAUGCAAAGUGGGGAAAAGACAUUGGGACCACCUUCAGGAUUAUAAAAAGACUGGUCACCACCUCUCACAGCAUAGGGCCGCUGCAGAGUCAGCCCCGGCAACCAAGGCCCAAGAUUAGGCUUAGGAAAACAACACCUGCCCCCCCAGAACGAAGGGACCUACCCACGCCCACCCCGACCUGCAGGGUAGUCACGUGGUUUCAAUAUGCCAGCUCCUCGUGCACAGGGACCGCUAUGGCCGUCAUCAAAAACCUUACGGGGCAUUACAUCCAGCCCUAUGCAGGAUCCUCGUCGGAGUCAAGCCAAAGGCUCCUCAAGAUACUGGCCGAAUGGCUGCCCAACGCACCCCCCCCCCCAUAUGGGACCCCUAUCCCCCCACCGAACCCCCCCCACCGAGCCCCCCUUCAUAUGGGACCCCUGGGACCCCUAUCCCCUCACCAACCCCCCCUUCAUCUGGGACCCCUAUCCCCCCACCGACCCCCCCCCCGAGGUCCACCGCCACGGAUAUUGGGUCCCUUCCUCCUCUGCUCCUCGCGGCGAUCCCCUUCCUUGUCAUAA